AGAGUGAGUGGGGAAGGCGGCUCAGGGCGGUCGGGCACAAUUUCUCAGGCAACAAGUUUUUUUGCAGGAAAAGAAAGAAAAGGAAAAUGGGGAUGAGCAAAGCUGUAUUUCACUGAACUUCUCCCAAGGGAACGAAGGCAGAAGCUGCAGUUUCUGUGCUCUGUAAGAAGGAGAGGCCAACCAGAGAGACAAAGGCAGUUCCCCUGGAAAAAUACACAGCCCUGAAUACACCAGCCAAGAGGCAGCCAUCAAAGUCUGUAAGGGCCGCGAGGCGCGACGAGACUCAUAUUCUGAAAUGCAUUUCACUGUAGAGUGACUAGUCUCAGAUCAGAAGGCAGAAUACACCCAGCACAAGUUCGUUCUAGGAGUUGGAAGUCCAAGAUCAGGUGUCAGCCUGGUUGGACUCUGAAGACCCUCUUCUGGAAUGUAGACUUGCCACUUCUUGCUGUGUGCUAACCUGAUGGGUGCAGCGUGUGCGGACGGGCACACCUGGCUGGAGGGCCGGCCAUCUGGACUCUGUGUGGGACCCUAAUUAUAAACAGACAAGUGGAGAGAUGCCACAGCUUUCAUCUGAAAAAGAACCAGAAACAGACCUGUCGUCAGGGAAAGAAGGCGCUAGCCAGAUUCCAAAUGCUCAUUGCUCUGAUUUACAUCUACUGCUGUCCUUCAUCUUCUCUUAGGAAGAUAAGAGUGGUCUCUUACUCUUUAGAAGUCUCUGCAUUGCAAGUUGAGUCAUGCAGGAAGGCAGAGGGCAAGUAGAAGAGAAUCAAAUCACUGGAGGCUGGAUUUCCCUAAGACUGGUAUGUCACCAUGACUCCCUGUUUUAUUUCUCGUUCACUCACUUGUGGAGAUUUUCCUAGAGUCGUGCCAGAUGCAGUCCUCAACUCACAAUAUGUGUAUCAAGGUCCCAGCCCUGAAGCCUUGUUGACCUCAGCAUCCCUGCAUCCGCCUGUAUACAACCUCACAUAGCGCUUCUUCUGCCCAGAUCACCAUGAUGCUGUCCUUUGAACACGUAGCACUGGGAGGCUGGUUUCUAUAGUGGUAUUUUAUGUUGCUAAUAUCUCAGUUGUGUCCCUCCUUUCUGUCUCCAUGAUUUCCAGCUUUCUGGAUCCCAUCAUGUUCUCUUCUGCAUGUGCAUUGCCUUAGCAUGUGAUCUUGCCUCUCAGGGCUUCCAACUUUCACAGGUCUAUACUUUUUAUGUGGAACUCAACGCCACCGGGAACAUGAAAAGAUGACUGUUUUACAUUAGACUUUGAAGACAGAUACAAAGGAAUUGUGCUCACUCUAGUUUACCCAGAACUAAAUGCAAACUUGUUUUUUUUCAAACAAACAGAGCAAAAUGUGAGAUUGAUGGAUAGAUGACAUUCUAUUUGGUUUUCAAGCUCUGAGUUUUAAGGAUUUCCCAGGUGGUACUAGUGGUAAAGAAUCCACAGAAGCAGGAGAUUCAGGUUUGAUCUCAGGAGAUCUUUGUAUUAGAUUGUUUUGGCUAUGAGUUUUAGAUAACUCAAUGAGAAGAAGUUCACUUAUGAUUUCCUUAGUAAGAAUCUUGGAGCUUUCCAGAUGGCUCAGUGGUCAAGAAUCUGCCUGACGAUGCGGGAGACAAAAGAGACCCAGAUUUGAUCCCUGGGUUGGAAGCUUCUCUGGGGGAGGAAAUGGCAACCCGCUCCAGUAUUCUUGCUUGGAGAAUCCCAUGGGGAGGAGCCUGGCGGGUUACAGUCCAUGUGAUCCUGGAGGGGUCACAAAGAGUCAGACACGACUGAGCACAUACACAUACUAGUAAAAUUCUUCACUGUGAGAAGAUGGAGGCCACAAGGGCAAGCAUCACAUCCUUGUCUUAAUAGAGACUAGGGGUAGGGUGCUGACCCUUGGCUGAGAGAUGCUUCUUGUUAUUCCUCCCUAACUUUUAUCAAAGAAGGAAUGUUUUUCUCAUAACUUUCCUCCUCUUACCUUAUUGGCCAGGGCUGUGUCUAUGGCCCCUAACAAACUGCUGAGGGUUUUCUGGACUUGAGUCUCUCUGGUGGGACCUAGGAAGGAAGAGAGAGCUGAGAAUGGCUACAGAGAGGCUAGCCUGCUGGAUCCAGCUUUGCUUCCAUGCAGGGUUAUGCUGAGAUUCAUAUCUGUGUUGGAAAUGUGGUCAUGAUUUUAUUAGGGAUACCGUGAGUCCUCUGCCUAGGAACCCUGAAGUUGUGAACUCUCAAAGACGUGAACGUGUGUUGCAUCAAUGUUGGUGACGACCCUUCAGCUCUACCAUCUCCACCUCCUCUCCCUCUUACAGUCAGUAACUCUUCUUGCCUGUUCAAUCGAUGCCAGCCCCCGUAUGCCAGCUAUUGUACUUUACUACUGUAUUUUUCAAGGUACUGUACUUUAAGAUUAGAAAUAUUUUAUUUUUUUUUGUUUUUCAUGUAUUAUUUGUGUGAAAGUAUUAUAAAUCUAUGACAGUACAGUACAGUAUAGCUAAUUGUGUUAGUUGGAUACCUAGGCUAACUUUGUUGGACUUGCAAACAAAUUAGACUUACGAACUAAUGUCAGUUCCUCAGUUGGCACAGCCUGGUUCACACAAAGGUAAUCUGAGUCUGAAGCCCCUGCUCUCCACUUGAUCUCUAUGGCUCCAAGGCAGCUACCAGCGCUGCCAAGCAACCUGUAUUCACCAGGACAUGGUUCCCACCUCUGCUGCCUCCAUCCUUCCAGAGCAUCUUCUGUCCUCCUCCAGGGGCUCUCUCAGCAGUGCCUCCCUUCUGCCCAUCUUCGUCCUUGGGAAAACCCUGGCCCCAAACCCAGCCCUAUCUGCCCCUCUAGUCCCUUGGAGAAGGCUCUUCCAUCCCAGACCCCCUUACUCCUCUCUGUUUAUGGGAUUCUCCCAGCAAGAGUACUGGAGUGGGUAGUCAUUCCCUUCUCCAGGGGAUCUUCCCAACCCAGGGAUCAAACUCAGGUCUCCUGCAUUGCUGGCAGAUUCUUUACCAUCUGGGCCACCAGGGAAGCCCUUAUUCUUCUCUACCUGAAAAGUUAAAACCCAAGUAGCAAUAGCACCCUUCACAUGCCUCUCCCUACCCAGGCAGGUUGAAACAGCCCCUUCUGGUGGGAAGCGAGUGGGAAUCAAAUGGAGUUUCUCUCCUUCUUGAUUUCCUUGGGUUUUAAUUUGAAGCAAAAAGAGAGAGAACGGCAGGGGACCAAGCCAUCUUUCCAGGGCUCCAUUGGCAGCCCUGCCCCCCGCAGCUGUUCUGAUUAAUGGCCAUGCCUCCCGCCGGCUCCUUGUAAUAGGUGUCAGGAAGGUGUUUACUCAAAGUUUUACACCCAGUUGUCGGCAGGUCGACACAAUAGGGCGUCUCCCAUGCAGGUUAAACAUCUUUUUAUGGGUACUACUCGUGAGAGAGGACUUCUGUGCUUUCAGGCUCUAAACGCAGUGGUUCAUAGCACUUUCUUCAAGACUGACUCAGCAGGUCCCAAGAACCAGGCAGCUUCCACAAGGUCUCCCUGAGCUGGGCUGUGAGCCUCGAGGGGACAACAGUGACACAAAGAUGUCCCCGUGUCUCCAGCUUUAAGCUUGUGCCCUGUCUGCCUAUGAAAUCCUGAAAGCUUUUAGAACUCAAGCAAGUAAUAAUAUCAAAAUUCCUCUCCCAGGGAAGGACUGUCUAUACAAAAUAGAGAUGUCGGAAUUCUUUACAAUUAAAAUGUCUUCUUUUGUCACAGUAAACAGUGACCUUGACCCCCCACCCAGAGUAGUUUUCUCUUCCCUUCAUGAUCUUUUUCCAAUUUCCCCCUACCCUCAGCCUCUCCUCCACUUAACAAACAAGCCUCAAGAAACAGAGAGCAAAAACACCACAAAGCUGGAAUUGCAUCUCCCAUCUGCUGCCCACAGGUGUGUAUUUUGACCCUAUUUCUGAGAAAGAGGAGGCCAAAGGCCAAAGUGAAUUUCCUAAAUGUGAGAUGCUUUCAAAGUGCUGCCUUAUGUUAGUUCGCACAUUCCUGAAGCUGUCUUCAGCCCUGGGUUUUCCUGUGACAAUGAGGCAUUUCCUGCAGGGUCUGCGGUGAACCCCUGGGCUGUAGCCAAGACCAGAAGAGCUCAGGGUAUUCCACCAAAGCCCUUCCGAACAGCAGAGCCCCCUGUGGCUUCCUUGGGCUUGAUUGUAAUUUUUUCAAAAAACCCCUCCUGGACUCACAGAUAGAGAACAAACGUAUAGCUGCUGCGGGGAAGGAUGGGGGAAAGGACUAGUUAGGGAGUUUGGGAUGGUUAUGUAUACACUGCUGUAUUUAAAAUGGAUAACCAAUGAGAAUGUGCUGCUAAGUGCAGACGGCUCUACUCAAUGUGAUGUGGCAGCCCGGAUGGGAGGGGGAGUUAGGGGGAGAAUGCCAAAGUGUGAGAGUGUUAGUCACUCAGUUGUGUCUGACUCUUUGUGACCCUGUGGACUGUAGCCCACCAGGCGCCUCUGUCCAUGGGAUUCUCCAGGCAAGAAUACUGGAGUGGGU